rnacentral:rRNA from 1 species
UACGUAGGGUGCAAGCGUUGUCCGGAAUUAUUGGGCGUAAAGAGCUCGUAGGCGGUCUGUCACGUCGGCUGUGAAAACCGGAGGCUCAACCUCCGGCCUGCAGUCGAUACGGGCAGACUAGAGUUCGGUAGGGGAGACUGGAAUUCCUGGUGUAGCGGUGAAAUGCGCAGAUAUCAGGAGGAACACCGGUGGCGAAGGCGGGUCUCUGGGCCGAAACUGACGCUGAGGAGCGAAAGCGUGGGGAGCAAACAGG